rnacentral:rRNA from 1 species
UACGUAGGGGGCAAGCGUUGUCCGGAAUCAUUGGGCGUAAAGCGCGUGUAGGCGGUCCGGUAAGUCCGCUGUGAAAGUCGGGGGCUCAACCCUCGGAUGCCGGUGGAUACUGUCGGGCUUGAGUACGGAAGAGGCGAGUGGAAUUCCUGGUGUAGCGGUGAAAUGCGCAGAUAUCAAGGAGGAACACCAAUUGCGAAGGCAGCUCGCUGGGACGUUACUGACGCUGAGACGCGAAAGCGUGGGGAGCGAACAGG